rnacentral:rRNA from 1 species
GACGAACGCUGGCGGCGUGCUUAACACAUGCAAGUCGAACGGUAAGGCCCUUCGGGGUACACGAGCGGCAAACGGGUGAGUAACACGUGGGUGAUCUGCCCUGCACUUCGGGAUAAGCCUGGGAAACUGGGUCUAAUACCGGAUAGGACCACUGCCUGCAUGGGUGGUGGUGGAAAGCUUUUGCGGUGUGGGAUGGGCCCGCGGCCUAUCAGCUUGUUGGUGGGGUGAUGGCCUACCAAGGCGACGACGGGUAGCCGGCCUGAGAGGGUGACCGGCCACACUGGGACUGAGAGACGGCCCAGACUCCUACGGGAGGCAGCAGUGGGGAAUAUUGCACAAUGGGCGCAAGCCUGAUGCAGCGACGCCGCGUGAGGGAUGACGGCCUUCGGGUUGUAAACCUCUUUCAGCACCGACGAAGCGCAAGUGACGGUAGGUGUAGAAGAAGGACCGGCCAACUACGUGCCAGCAGCCGCCGUAA